AUCGAACGCUGGCGGCAGGCCUAAUACAUGCAAGUCGAGCGGAGCGGCGGACGGGUGAGUAAUGCCUAGGAAUCUGCCUGGUAGUGGGGGAUAACGUCCGGAAACGGGCGCUAAUACCGCAUACUAUCAGAUGAGCCUAGGUCGGAUUAGCUAGGUGGUGGGGUAAAGGCCUACCAAGGCGACGAUCCGUAACUGGUCGGAGAGGAUGAUCAGUCACACUGUAACGGAGACACGGCCCAGACUCCUACGGGAGGAAGCAGUGGGGAAUAUUGGGCAAUGGGGGAAAGCCUGAUCCAGACAUGCGGCGUGUGGGAAGAAGGUCUUCGGAUUGUAAAGCACUUUAAGUUGGGAGGCGUUACCAACAGAAUAAGCACCGGCUAACUUCGUGCCAGCAGCCGCGGUAAUAC
rnacentral:rRNA from 1 species